GCAGCAGACCGGGUGAUCGCCGGUGAUUUUCGUUCAAGGCUGAGAGCCAAGGCUCUCAGCCGCCAGCAAUGGCUCUGAAUUAGGAUCACGGGAGGAAAGUCCGAACACCACAGGACAGCAGGCUGGCUAACGGCCAGGCGGGGUGACCCGACGGAAUAGUGCAACAGAGAAUAGACAGCCCGAACGAACCGCUUCGGCGGUUGCGUGGGCGAUGGUGAAACGGUGAGGUAAAGGCUUCACCAGCAGUCGUGGCGACAUGGCUGGCUAGGCAAACCCCCUGCGGUGCAAGACCAAAUAGGGAAACGAUGUGAGCUGGUCCGGCUCUGUGCGCGCUUCGGCGUGGCGCGUUUUCGGGUAGGUCGCUGAGGCAAAGUCGCGAGGCUUUGCGGAGCGGCGCAGCAAUGCGCGGCCUAGAUGAAUGAUCGCCCCUUGCGUAAGCGAGGACAGAAUUCGGCUUAUAGGUCCGCUGCGGCA
rnacentral:RNase_P_RNA from 1 species